rnacentral:lncRNA from 1 species
GCACUGUCUCCAUAAGCUUAUUUCAUUUUAUCAAAAGGUGUAGUGGAAGAUAUGAGUACCAGACCUUAAGCAGAUUAAAGCACAGUUGUUAAGUCCAUAUGCAGGCGAGAUCUGUGAGUAUUAAGGAUACCCUGGAGCUGAAUGGCGCUUACUUUAGAAGUGUCAUUGCUUUUGUACUUUGAGGAUUUGUUGUGAAGUUUUUUCUUACUUUCCAUUUAGAAAGUGGGUCAUUAAAGAUUUUCAUUUGCUGAAAAAUUAACCCUUAAAUGCUGUAAGUGCCUUGAAAGGAAAUGAAGUAGAUUUUUAAAAGUUAAAGAAUGCAAGUACUUUAGAAAGUGUUUAGAAAAGAACAAAAAGGGUUUACAUUUGGUACAGUUUAGAAGGGACAUGAUAUAAGCUUAUCUGCUGCAAACAAUGCAUGUGUAUGACUGCCUUGGCUCAGAAAGAAUACUCCUGUUGAAUUCCUUUUGUAUAAAUGAAGCUUCUCUCCUUAUAGAGCUGCAAUUGAUGUCCCCUUCCAGGCAAUUUUCUUCCUGGGGACCACCACUCUGAAAACUAGAACUCCAAACCUCAAUUUCUCCAGGGAUGCAUUUUUCUUUGCCCACAGGGAAAAAGCAUCACUGUGUAUCACUGAACUUGGCGAAGGAGGUAAACAACGUACACAUGAAUUCUUUGAAAUAAAUGAAAGAAUCUUACAAAAUACAGUAUAUAACCAUCUCAAAAUACCCAUGAGCGAUACAAUAUUAACUGUGACUCUAGGGACCCGGAUAGUUGAGAUUUCUAUGAAAUGGUAAAAGAUGCCUUCUAGCUUUGUGAAACAAUGAUUUAGGUUUUCCUUUUGGGUAUUGAAGAUGCAAGCAAAUUUUCUGUUAAGUGGC